rnacentral:rRNA from 1 species
CAGUCGCCGCGGUAAUACGGAGGGGGCUAGCGUUGUUCGGAAUUACUGGGCGUAAAGCGUGCGUAGGCGGUUCGUUAAGUCUGCUGUGAAAGCCCCGGGCUCAACCUGGGAGUGGCAAUGGAUACUGGCGAGCUAGAGUGUGUCAGAGGAUGGUGGAAUUCCCGGUGUAGCGGUGAAAUGCGUAGAGAUCGGGAGGAACAUCAGUGGCGAAGGCGGCCAUCUGGGACAACACUGACGCUGAGGCACGAAAGCGUGGGGAGCAAACAGGAUUAGAUACCCGCGUAGUCCCUGUCUCUUAUAC